AAGUGAACUUGGUGCAGGGAGGGUCACACAGGACCUCAUGAACCAUAGAGAGAAGUGUGGUUUCUAUUCUUACCAUUGAUGUAUUUUUAGCAGGGGGAGGUCCACCAUCUGAUUCCUGGUUGUUGUUGGGAGGAUGGGCAGUUGAGGGGGAUGGGAAAGUGAAUCUUUGAUCUCAGGUCUCUGUAAUACAUUGUUUAACGUUCAACAGGUAUCUUGCGUUCUGGCAAGCGUAGACUUUAUGUGCAGUGUAUUUCCAUCUGUGUACAGAAGAGGUACCCGUGUGCCUUUAUAUGUGGAGAAUACCAUCAGAGGGAGCCAUUAAAAAAGUGGGGAGGGGAACAGAUUUUUUUAAGUGAGGGAGAGACAGUCUUUUCAUACUUUGUGCUGUUUGAAUUUUUUUUUUUUUAAAUGUGGUUUUGAUGAUAAUGAAUAUAGAGAAAAACUCAGUAAUCUAAAAAACAAAAACAAAACAGAUCAUUUGACACAGGGUGGAGGUGUGUUUGUGUGUGGAGAGGAGGUUGGUGCAACCUGGGGCAGGGUGGGGUGAGGCCUCAGAAGGACACGGACCCAAGGAAGGGAGAGGAGAGGCCAGGCUUAAGAAAUUCUCUAAGUCAACAGGAUGUGGGGCUGUGGAGUGGGCAGGGCCAAGGUGAUUGAGGUUUGCAGUCUGCAGAUGCUGUAACCCAGAUGUGAGGCCCAGAAGGCCCUACUUCCUGUAAAUGGGGUGACCGCCAUGGCGGUGGGGCCCGAGGGCUGUACCCCAAAAUGUCAGGGCAGGCAGACUGCAUGGUGAGUGCACGGAGAGAGUAGGGAGGUGGAAGAGGACGCCCCAGUUCCUCUUCAGCCCCAGAGAAUGUCCAGCUGAUGAGCCACACUCAGCUUCCCAAGGUAGGGACAGAAGAGAGAGGGUUCAGAUCCUGCAGAAGGGGCUACUGGCCAGUCUUUCUCUGAUAGCCUGUCUCCCAUCUCCCCUGGCUGGGUGCCUGCCCUCACUCGCCAUGAUGGACCAGUGAGUGACCCCUUUGGGGCUCCCCAUUUACCCACAGAGAAUGCUGCUGAGUCCCAAGCCCCUCUGGGUGGGGGGCAGCCCAGUGGACUAAGGGAAAAGGUGAAAACAACCCGAGUGUCCACCCGUGGAGGAAUGGAUGGGACAGAUGAGGUCCAUUCAUAACUGCAAGAUUUCAGCCUUCGAAAGGAAGGACGUCCUGAUACCUGCUUCAACAUGGACAAACUUUGCGGACAUUUUACUGAGUGGGGCCCAGCUCCAGACCCAGCAGGACGCGCGCGGAGCCGGGCAGGGCCUCACCAGCUUGUUUUCAAUGAGGUCGCAGACCACUUUGUUGUUGAAGUACUGGAUGGGGGUCCAGCGGAUGCCCUCUUGGACGUACUCCUCCUGGGGGCGGCAAAGCGGCCGGGGUGGGGGUGGGGGUCCGGGCAAGGACGCAAGGGUUUCUAGAAUGCAUGCUUCACAAGGGUGGGUGAGGGAGGUGUGCUGGGUGUCUCCCCAUAUCUCCCCAUCUCAUCGCCCUCAUCAUCAGUGGGGCAGACUGGAACAGCCGCCCCGGCCUGCCCUUGACCACAGACAGACAGGAGCCAGUGCCUAAAUAUCCUGGCUCCGUUGCUUCUGGGGUGGGCUAACCCUGAGUUCCCUGCUAGAGUGUCCCCCAGGGCUCAGCGGAGAUUGGCCCCAAUUGCCUGCAGCAUAGCCUGCUCAUCAAUACACCCUAUUCUGGCCUUUAAAAUUUUUUUUUAUUUUUUAAUUUAAAAGAUUCAUUUAUUAGGAUGCCUGGAUGGCUUAGUUGGUUAAGCAUCUGCCUUUGGCUCAGGUCAUGGUCCCAGGGUCCUGGGUGAGUCCUGGCAUUGGGCUCCUUGCUCAGUGGGGAGCCUGCUUCUCCCUCUGCCUACUGCAGAGGGAAAGGCAGAGGGAGAGACAGAGUCCCAAACAGAUGCCCGAUGUGGAGCUCGAUCCUAGGAUGCUGAGAUCCUGACCUGAGCUGAGAUCAGGAGUUGGAAGCCUAACCGUCUGAGCCACCCAGGCGCUCACCUCCCUAUUUUUUUUUUUUUUUUUUAAUGUGUCUCCCACUUCUUCACUCUUCUCCUGAUAUUUGUGCUGAAUCCUUGCCUCAGGCUCUGUUUUUGCAGAAUGGGUUGGAUGAAAACAGCAGGAAUUUUCAUUCCUCUCUUGCAUGGCAGUCUCCCCAGCACUGCAAACAGUGCCUGGCAAACAGCAGGUGCUCAAUAAAUAAUCAUUGGUGGAAUGACAAAGGAGGCUGUGCCCUAGCCCUUGUCAAAGCUUUAGAGGCAGGGAACUGCUUCCAUAGGAAAUCAGAGAGAGGUGAGGAUGGGAGCCUGGGCAGGGGUUCCCCUGGGGGCUCAGCAGACUUCCUGGUCCUGCCCCCACCUCCAGUGUCCCUGUGCUCCUGGCUCCCCCUGCCUACCUGCUCAGCUUUCAGGGUGAGUUCGAUAAAGAUUUGCUGCAGCUUCUCAUUGACAAAGUUGAUGCAGAACUGCUCAAAGCCGUUUUUCUGUCAAGGGAGGCCAAGGGUGUCGCCAUCAGUGGGCUGAUGCUGGAGGCUCCUGGGGCCACGGGGCCACCCCAGGAGGCUCAGGGAGGCACCUGGUGUGGGCUGGGGAACAGAGGCCGUACCUGGAAGAUCUCAAAGCCAUAGAUGUCGAGCACACCGAUACUGUACUCCUCCUGGGGCUUCUGCAUAGCGCGGUUGAUGGCCUGCAGUGUGGACGGGGAUUCACGGAGUUUGGGAAAAUGUGUCACCAAAGUCUCACCAGGUGGGUGAGCGCCAGCGUGUCCCCCUCUGUGUGUGCUCUUAACCACGUUCCCAGGCUGUGUCCUCUGAUGCCAGCUCCUCUCUUGCCUUCUCCAACUCUCUGCACCCCCCCGCCCCCAGUCACCCGUAUGAGAAUCCCAGGUGUUAGAACAUCUGGGUUCCUACCUUGGGAGCUCGCUUGGCCUCUUAAAUGUUCUGCAGCUCUAUAUUCCCAUCUUUAAAUGGGGGCAAUGGUGGCAUCUACUCUGUAGGACUUUAUAAAGCUUUAAACUGACGCAUGUAAAACAUUUACAACAGUAGUUGGUGGAGGCCAAGUGUUCUGCAAUGUUGGCUUCUACAAUAUUGUCAUGGUGCUUGACCUUGACACGUCCCGUGCCUGCCUUCCCCACCUGGCUGGUCCAAGCCCAGGGCGCUCUGGGGCAGGGCCUCUCCUGCUCCCUGGCCCAGGCCCCGGCCCCUCUCACCUCCACAAGAAAGUCAAAGAGACGGGCAUAGAGCCCCUUGGCCAGGGCGUCGCGGGUGUAGGCUGCCUGCUCCACAUUGAGGGUCACGUCGAUGGACUCGCUGCGUCCACCCCAGCGGCUGUCCAUCUUACGGCUGGUGAGCUUCUCCUGCAGCCGCCCGCUGUCGAUGCCCAGCAGGUAGGCGGGAAAGGCCAGCACUACCAGGGUUGGGGGGAAAGAGGGCGGCCAGUUAGGCUCUGGGGCUCCAGGGGGGGGCCUUUGUGCCCAGUGACGGAGAUACUGUCUUCGUGGGUGCUUACCCUCCUGGGGCCCCACGCGGAGGAAGCAGUUUGGACACACCCGUCCACCCCGCCGUCCCCAGCGCCCACACUCACGGUCCACACUCUCUACCCGGGCGUAAUUCCCAUCCUCACAGAAGCUGAUGUUUCCCAAGUGCAAGAUUCCCGCCACCAGCUGCAGGACCAGCUGCUGGACGUUGGGCGGGAUCCCGAUGACCUGCAUGGCAUUCUGCAGGCACAACAGGGGCAGAACCUGUACCACAGAUCGCCACCUCCGUCCUGCCCUCCUGAGUUAGGCUCUGGGACCGCAGCACGGACGCAGGGAGUCAGGACACCCGGAGCCCUGUCUUGCCUGUUUCACCCACUUGCUGUGUGACCCGAGGCAAGUUCCAGCCCCUCUCCUGGCCUUGGCUUUCUAGAGUAGGGAUCACGGCUCACCAAAGUCUCGUUGAAGUCACUCCGGUCGUCGGUGCCAUCCACCUUGUAGGUGUCCGAUUGGAGGUAGUAAUAGUAGUCGGGGGUCAUGAGCCCCAGGUUUUGUCGCUGCUCCUGGGAGGCUCCUUCCAGCAGCUGGAGGGCGAGCAAUGUUCAUGCAUCUGGCGUUGGACCGGCAUCGCCCCUGUGAUCCCCCAGUCCUCACUGUCCUAGCCUCCUGGACACUCACCCUCCCACCGUCUCCCCUUGGCUCUCCCUCGGCUCCAGCCUCACGGCCCUUUCCUUGCACCUGAUAGUAGAUGUGGAAGUUCCUCUCGUUUUCGUUCUGCAUGACCACACGGGAUUUCUCUAGCAGGAAGUUGGAGAUCUUGCCCCCGUCCGGCUCCCCGCCACGACUGAACUGGAUCUCAAAGUACUUGCCCUGAAGCCGAGAGAGCCAGGCUCAGCACUAACACCUGACACAAAGAAGGAGCCCAAGAACAAUUUGUUGAAGAAAAGAAUGGAAGAGAGAAUAAAUUGGGAACUGAACUGUGAACAGGAACAGACGUAGCAUGGUUGCAGCCAGGAAAACAUUUAAGAAUGUUACACAGACAAGUCAAGGCUUCUACAGAUCAGCUGAUGGGGGAAUCUUUUUCAGAAGGACCAUAAGCAGGAAGUGAGUCUCCCACAAGCAGGAAGAGAGUCUCCCACCAAGGAGCAGGACGUUCCUAUGCUACUGGGAACACAGGUGUUUGUGUUUGUGUGUGGGGCUGCAGACUCACAAAGCG